AGCAGCCGCGGUAAUUCCAGCUCCAAUAGCGUAUAUUAAAGUCGUUGCAGUUAAAAGCUCGUAGUUGAAUUUCGGGGUUAGUAGGUUGGUCAUGCCUCUGGUAUGUACUGGUCUCACUGAUUCCUCCUUCCUGAUGAGCCGUAAUGCCAUUAAUUUGGUGUUGCGGGGAAUUUGGACUGUUACUUUGAAAAAAUUAGAGUGUUUAAAGCAAGCUAACGCUUGAAUACAUUAGCAUGGAAUAAUGAAAUAGGACGUUUGAUUCUAUUUUGUUGGUUUCUAGGAUCGACGUAAUGAUUAAUAGGGAUAGUUGGGGGCAUUAGUAUUCAAUUGUCAGAGGUGAAAUUCUUGGAUUUAUUGAAGACUAACUACUGCGAAAGCAUUUGCCAAGGAUGUUUUCAUUAAUCAAGAACGAAAGUUAGGGGAUCGAAGACGAUCAGAUACCGUCGUAGUCUUAACCAUAAACUAUGCCGACUAGGGAUCGGAUGAUGUUAAUUUUUUCAAUGACUCAUUCGGCGCCUUA
rnacentral:rRNA from 1 species